rnacentral:rRNA from 1 species
GAUUACUUUUUAACGGCCGCGGUACCCUGACCGUGCAAAGGUAGCAUAAUCAUUUGCCUUUUAAUUGAAGGCUGGUAUGAACGGUUUGACGCGAGUAAAGCUGUCUCACAUGCACUUAAUAAAAGUUAAUUUAAAGGUGCAAAGGCCUUUAUAAAACAAAAAGACGAGAAGACCCUGUUGAGCUUUAAUUUCAAUGAGCACUACUUGUAUAUUAAUAUAACUGAUCUGCUCAAUAAAAAUUUUAAUUGGGGCGAUUAAGGAACACCCAGAAGCUUCCUGACUAUACACAAAAUUUUGGUAAAUUAAAUCGAUCCAGCAAUGCUGAUCAACAAAAUGAGUUACCACAGGGAUAACAGCAUAAUUCUUUUUGAGAGCUCAUAUCGAAAAAAGAGAUUGUGACCUCGAUGUUGGACUAGGGUAACUAGAAGGUGCAGCCGCUUUCUUGCUUGGUCUGUUCGACCAGUAAUUCCCUACGU